GAAUAUUGGACAAUGGGCGGGAGCCUGAUCCAGCCAUGCCGCGUGCAGGAAGACGGUCCUAUGGAUUGUAAACUGCUUUUGUACGGGAAGAACAGGGGGCACGUGUGCCCCUCUGACGGUACCGUAAGAAUAAGGAUCGGCUAACUCCGUGCCCGCAGCCGCGGUAAUACGGAGGAUCCGAGCGUUAUCCGGAAUCAUUGGGUUUAAAGGGUCCGUAGGCGGGCCAUUAAGUCAGGGGUGAAAGUCUGCGGCUCAACCGUAGAAUUGCCCUUGAUACUGGUGGCCUUGAGUUAUGGUGAAGUAACUAGAAUAUGUAGUGUAGCGGUGAAAUGCAUAGAUAUUACAUAGAAUACCGAUUGCGAAGGCAGGUUACUAACCAUAUACCGACGCUGAUGGACGAAAGCGUGGGUAGCGAACAGG
rnacentral:rRNA from 1 species